rnacentral:tRNA from 1 species
UGCCUCGUAGUAUAUACUAUAAAUUACUGUAAACUGCAACUUUACCAAAGCAAUUGCCAAGGCAU